rnacentral:lncRNA from 1 species
AAUGCACGUACGAAUCCUGUGUAUUUUAUAUCUUUAUCUAUAGAGGAGAAACACUUGGCUCAUUAUACACUGGGCAUUGCAUCUCUGAUGGACGUUAAGAAGAUUACAGUCCAUUGCUGCCCUGGGUGUAUUGUUUUUUCUCCCUCAUUAGCUAAGAGCUAAGACAGCCAACCAGGGCCAGCAAGAGCCAGACACGGGCGCUCAUAGACUCUUGAAAGUAUAUUUGGCUGAAAGAGAUUCAAUCGAUUGUACAGUUGCUGUGUUUUCCGAAAGUAAAACCUUCCAUAGAAGAACACCUCCUGGUCUCCAUCCAAAGGGCUUCAUUGCUCAGUCAAGGGAAAGGAGACAGACCCUUCCGCCUCUGACGCCUCUAGACCACCCACUGGGCCUCCUCAGAAAGGAGCUGCCUCCCCAAAGGAGGUCCUGAGAUAAUCAAAGCACAUGACUAAGUUGGGGAGGAUGGGUCCCCUUGAACAUCAGUGAGUGAAGGGGACUCACGCUGUUUGCAAACCUGAGGAGAAAGAAAGGAAGCAGCCGAGGAGGCAGGCUGAGUGCCAAGGACCCUAAAAAAGGCAGCAAGUUUUAGAAAACACUCAUUUGACUAAUUUGCCUAAUAUAAUAAAG